AGAAGCCCUAGAUUCGGCGGCGAAGCCCUCAACGACUUGCCCUGCUGCAUCGCGUACAAUUCCGGCGAUAGAACAAGUAAACGCACCUGGAACCCAUGAAGCAUCAACGUUCAUCUUGAUCUCCCAUCUGUUCGGUGGCUUCCAGCGAACCGGUAAGUUUCGAUUUAGGGUUUCUCCUUUCGGUUUCAUCGUCCAUCUGCUGAAAGUGAUGCUUUGGUUUUGUGCUAGCUUGACCUGGGGUGAAUAGCAACCCCAACUCAAGAAGAAUUUGAAAACAAAAGAAAGUAGCACAGGUAAACGGAGACAAGAUAAUGCCCACCUCCAAUUAAGGGUGAGUAUAGUCGAGGUAGGUAGGAACCAGUCAUUAAGGAUCAAUUUUGAAAAAUUGAAACCGAGAAUCGGCCAUUGAUUUCAUGAAUCCAUUCAAGAAUCGAAUUGUCGAUUGGGUUAGGUUCUCGGGCAAGUUCAUAAAAUUGAUCCUUAAUUCUUAUAAUAUUAUAUUUAUCAAUUAAUAUUAGUUUGAAGCUAGUUUUUAUUUUAGUGCAUCAAAACUUGUUCGACA
rnacentral:lncRNA from 1 species